GAGCUUUUCCAAGGGCAAGGAGUUUUGAUACUCACCCAAGAGCUUGAGAAGAGAUCCUAAAGUUGGAGGCGGUGUCGGUGGAACUUGAGAAGUUGCCAAGAACCAAACCCAACACUCACCGAGGUAAAUAGACGAAUGAAGUAUGCCAGGUCGGGAGCUUUAGGAGCUUUAGACUUUGGAUUCACUAUUUAUGUUUUUCGUAUUCUAAAUGAUUACUUGCGGAUUUAAAUGAUUGUAAUCAUGGCUAACCAUUAUUUGGAUAUUUGUAACCAUGCGUAAUGUUAUUUUGGAGGAUCAGAACCUUUGAGAUUAAUUGUAUGAUAAUAUAA